ACUGCAGCGGAGAGGCGGGAGUCCGAGCUUGCCCCUACCCUACCCCUGGAUUGUGGGCUCUGAGCUUGGGGCUCGAACCAAUGCGUUCACACCCAAAGAGUGCUGUGUCUGCAUCGCUCAGCCCUGCAGGCUUCGCAGAUUCCUCUGCAAAGAACUGAAUCCGCUUCCCUUUGGUUCUAGCAGAACAUCCAUGGGCGCCUGUCCUACACUGGGUCCUGCUAAGGGUGGAUUUGAUGCUUGCCCUCAAGGAGCUUGAAGUUCUGCAGCAAAUUUCUAUUUCUUAAGAUAAAUAUACAUUACACCCAGUGUGUUGGGGAAAAAUUGUCUGCAGCUGUUGGAGAUGAUGGAGAGCACAGUGCACUCAUGAACUGUUAGUGACUGAUGUGUGAAUUCACCCCACUUCUGAGGAAGACCAGAAUGGCAGCAAGAGCAUUCAUCUUGGAGGGUUACUAGAAGAACCACUAGAGGUAAAGAUAUGAAUCUGUGACAUCCACUGGUCAGAUUGCUACCACUUCUAUUGAUCAUUUCACUGCAACAGUGACAAGUGUCUUACCUGAGCCCCUUCUGGACUUCUGGAAAGGCAUGUCUCGGAGGGAAGUAUGCACUGAUCUCUGGUGGUACUGGAGGGCAUGUGCUUUUAGAAAUGACUUAUUUGAAUGCAAUCCAUAUGUUUUGAAACAGCGCCUUUCUCGGAUGAUGUAGGACAGAAUAUGAGUUUUCCCAAUCAGUUUCUUUGUCAAUAAGGGAAUACUGACCUGGAAUGUAUCAGAAUAUUAUCACCAGUGACAUGCAGACCUGGGAGAAAUUCCUGGAUGAUUAUUAAAGAACCCAGGAGGACCCAUCCUGGACAUACACAGCACCAUCCACUGACUGGAUCCUGAUUAUAAUCUAGAAAGGAAGACAAGGAAGCCUGAUAAGUCAUUCUCUCUCUGUGGGAAUGAAUGCAGAGCCCCUGCCACACUCUUAUGAUACCCCAGGAGUCUGCUUUGCCUCAGGAUUAAUGCACUUAUCCAUGCCGUCCUGAACCUAAUCUUCUGAAAUCAUCUUCUGAAACAAGUAAAACCAAAUCCUUCAUUCCUUAAUUUGUCCCUUACCACCUAUUCAAAUCAACAAAGAGUUAGCUUGGUAUUCUUGUGGGACUCCUGGGUGUGGAGCAUGUCUCCAACUCUUUUGCCUUCACUUGGGGUUCUUUUCCUUCUAUGGCGUUGCCUUGUCCAGCCUUGACAUGAGGGUUUAUGCCUAGUCUUAUUGUAACUUGUUAUGCUGUAUUUGGUGAUAUCCUUAAGAGGCCUGCUUUUUUUUCUUGAGGGGAACAGUGGAGGAGUUGGUCUGGGAGAGAGUGCAGGAAGGGAGAGGGACUGGGAGAAGUGGAAGGAGGAGCUAGUGCAGUAAGGAUGUAAUAUGUAAGAGAAAAAUACGAGGAAUAAAAAUUUUUAAAAAAGGAGAGAAAAGUCUGGCCCGGGAGUUGGCUCCUAAUUACUUCUAGGGACCCAGGGAGGCAGCCAUACUGACUGCUCAGCUGGGAAUAGGACUUUGAUCUCUGGCCAGCACAAUAAACUUAAAUAUUAAAACAUA